CUCCGCCCUCCCUCACCGCGCGCUGCUCCGCCGCCCAGCUGUCGCGGGCUCCUCCUCCUGCUCCUCCUGGCCUAGCGUCCCUUCGUGAAGGACCGGCUCGUCCACCGACCCAGUUAAGUCCUGGGAGGCAGCUCAAGAUGGUGACCCAGGAAGACCCUGAACUUAUUUCCUCCCAGGGACACAGAGAAUCUGCAAUUACAUAUGGAACAAUUUCCUCUGAAAAAGACCUGAAAGCAAGCUGAGAAACUCCUUCACUUGGGCAAAUGAAAACAUCGGAGCAGGGUCUACAGUCACUGAAACAUCAGCGUGAGAGAGGUGGCAUGCCCUGGGGACACCUAUCAGAUGCAGUCUCUCAAGAAGCAUCAUGGGUAAGUGUGUUAAUUAGAGAGAGGAAGAUAGAGAAUCCCAAGCAGGCUUAGCGCUGAAACCGGACUUGGGGCUCAAACCCAUGCAUGACUUGUGAGAUCAUGACCUGAGCUGAAUUCAGAUGAUCAAUUGACUGAGCCAUCCAGGCACCCCAGGAGUAAUUUCAUCUUGAGACUUCCUACACUAGACGAUGUCUGAGAUAUAACAUAAACAUAGUAGACCCUCACUGACAAGCAUGUUGAGAGUGUGUUGCAGCACUGGUUUCUCAACCUUAUUUAAAUAUAUUUUUGGUUAUAUGAAUAAAUACGCCAUAUAAACCAUGGACCAAUGGGCCCUUCUUAGAUCCUUUUCUCAUAUAAAAGGAGAAAUCUAGAGAUUGGAAGAUGUGAGGCCCUGAUCCUGUUGCUGGCUCUGAUCAGCUGCUUGGCCAGGUGGCCUUGCAUAAUUUCUCUUAUUUCCCUGGCUCUUUAUCACCAUUUCUGCUAAAAGAGAAUCCUGGAUCAGAUGAUGUCUAAGCUUCUCUAGCUUUUUAAUUUAUUGAGUAUGUUUCUUUUUGUUCCUUAUAUUUUAGUAGUUUAGAACCAUUACAUAGGCUAAAUAAGUAGAGCUCAUACAGAGAAUUAGUCAUUUAUGUAUUUGGAUGUUAGAGAACUUUCCUAGGUCUUCUGCAGCUCCUGUGGGAAUGGUAAUGGCUAACCAGAACUGUCUUAGCAAAGCUGGAAUUACUCAGUUUCAUUCUAUAAGAAAUGUGUUUGACGGUCUCAGUAAUAAUUUUAGACGUGAUUGUAUAAUAUGAAUGUAUGUUCAUUUAAGUAUUGUUACUAACCAUAAUAACAGCAUUUUCUGUUCAGGAUGCAUAUUGAUUUUUGAGACUAUGGUUAAUCACCAACUGAGUAAAACCUUCAUGCAAGCUCAGCCGGUUGCUUUUGGCCCAUCUUUGAUUUUAGUUCCAUCUGCAGUGAAGAGUUCCAAGGCAUCUCCUGGUAGGGGAAUUGAUCCCUAACUGUCUGUGGAUCCUUGGUACCAUACCCUUAAAUAGACUUUACUUAUUCCCAAAUUCUAUCUGCUUCUUGGGAUCAUGCUCCACAUAAACAAUCUGCACUCAAGUUCUUGUCUUGGCUCUGUACUUGGGGUCACCCCAAGUAGACAAGAUCAUCAGAAUAAUAGCAUAUUAUUACCUUUCAAUAUCUGAAAUAAAUGUAGGACAGGAAGUACAGAUUGUGCUGUUCUCCAGAAGCCAGAAUAAACACCUUUGAAGAUGUUAUAAUCUUAAUUAUAAAUAAAAACUUAAAUGACCUUGGCUCACUUUCAAUAAAAAUCUAGCAGUUAAAAAGAGACCUCCUCUGCACCAUGAUAUCUAAAUCUUUUUGAGCUUUAAAAAUUUAACCCUUUAAGGAAAUUGAACUUAAAUAGUGAGAGUACUUGUUCUUCAGGAAGCUCGGGGGCUGUUAUAACGUGCAACCUGAUAUCUGGUAGCAGCUAGAAACUGUGCAGAAGGGAGGCUGAUUGUAAGAAAAAUGCCACGUUAGGGAUCAUUUGUGUUGAUAAUCUGACUCUUGGUCUCAUAUCUUAGAAACUCCUUGGAUCAUUAAAAAUUUGAUUUUUCUCAUAAUAUUCCCAUAUAAAACUUAAAACUGUCAUUUAUUUGCAAUUCAUCUAAAAGAAUUUAAGAGAAUGUGAGUAUUGUUCCAGAAUGUUCUUUGGUCAUGAAGCUGUGUCUUGGUUCAUCAAAGCCUUGACUGGACUCCGUAGCAUUGAGAUGAGCAUAAACCUAGAAGAGACCUUUUGAAAAGAUCAGUGACUCUAGUCCCAUAGUAUACACUCAAGAGAAGAGAGGCUUUGUUUGUGCAGGUUCAGAAAGUAGCAGCAGACUGAACCUCGGUUUCCUUCCUCAGUCUUCCAUGACAAUAGGGUUACAUCAAAUCCUGAGGCUCCAAUUGGGGGUGAAAACCGCCCAUCAUGUGUUAGCUAAGGUGGAUAUACUGUUGUUAAAUAUCAAAAACGAAGAAGAGAGCUAAGACUGGGGUAUAUACCACUAGGGAAAAUAGGGAAACCAUUUGUUUUAGCAAGCCACCUGUUAAAAUAAUAAAAAUUUAACAAAAUUUUUGUCUUACUGCAUAGCGACUGGGGCAAAUGUCCAUUGGGUAUUAAACUUGAGAUAAACUUAGUAAUAUUAUUAGUGUUCUCAGUUAAAAUCAAAUCUUAGAAAUCAGAUGUUUUCUUUCAAAUCGCUGUUAUUAUUAUGGAUUGAAAUUUAACAUUAAGUUAUAAAACUUUAUAUAAAUUAUGGAGUUUCUGAAGGUGCUUGUUUUUCUGUGGGUCAUUUGAGUGAUACCAGGAGACGAUUUCUUGUCCCUAAAUUUCUUUCUCACUUGUCUUCCUGGUGCUAAAGUUUUACCUUUUGGAUUAAUAUCAUGGUGAACAGCUAAAGGGACCUCAGUGAUAGACAAUAGUUUAUCAGCCUGGAUUACUUAUUGGUGCUCCAGCAAAGAGGAGAAACCUAAUGGAAUGGGUCAUAGAAUGGGCAAGUUUUGAUGUGAGCAGGAAGAACAGGAAGAAAGAGUACCAGCAAAGGGAAUUCUGCAUCAUGGUGAGGACAAAGCAGAAGUAAAAAAAAAAAAAAAAAUUAAAAAUGAGAGUAUUCACAGAAUGUGGAAGCUAUUGAAUAAUAAUAUUGACUAUCCCACAAUUUGUCUACUUUUCGCUCUGAUAGCUAAUAAUAUAUAAUGGCUGUGUUUUUUUUCUUUUUAAUAACAACAGUUAUUACAUUUACAUAGUGCUUUACAGGUUAUCAAGCACAGCUAUAGUCAUGACCUCAUUUAAGUGAUGCUGUCAGUCAGGACAGGUGCUAGUAGCUCCAUUUUUAGAGACAAUGAAAUUGAGACACGGGGUUAUUAAGUGAUUUGUCCAAGCCAAGAUGGCAUCCUUUGGUUCUAAACUCAGUUCUCUUUGUUCUCUGCCACAUUGGGUAGAAACAAACACUUAUUUUUCGGAGUCAGAUGAGCCAGGCUUGAACUUGCCACUUUUUCUUUUUUUGGCAGCUGUGGGACGUUGGCCACAUUACUAACUGUUCUGAAUCUCAGUUUCUUUAGCUAUGAAAAAUAAGGCACAAUAAUACCUACUUUUUGGAUUGUUGUGAAGAUUCCAUUAGGUGAAGCAAACAAAUCGAACAGCUUAAUGUCUGGCACGUGGUAGGUACUCAAUACAGGGAGCUGUAAACACCUGGAAAAGAUACCUGCUGUCCUUAUUUCAUAAACUUUUCCAACAUUUAGAGGUGAAAUGACAAAUCAAGGCAGCUUUCCAGUUUAUUCAAUGAUACUGUGUCUUCUUGGUUUACUUUAAUUCCUGAAAUUAUCUCCUGUGAAGACGUGUGUACUGUUUGUGUGAAUGCACCCGUGCAUGUCUUGGGGUACGCCUGUACACACGUGGCCAUCAGUACCUGUGUGCAUGUGUUGGGGUUACAGCAGCAGUUCUCUAUGUUUCUGGGCUGUGUGCGACCAGACAGAGUGACCAAAUGUGGAGUGUCUCUGCUGCAGAUAACUGGAAGCUGAAUCAUAAGCAGGUAAGUCCUAGUUGAGUCACUGAACUUCAGAAGAACAGGCUUUGUUCUCUCAAAAUAUCUAAAUGAUACAUGGAGUUCCUAGUGUGAGUAUCUGAAAAGUGUGGGUCACUCCCUUUGGCAGACAAAACUAUGGACUCACAUAAUUGCAUUGAUUUUUGAGUAGACUUUAUUUAUAAUUAUUCCUUCUUUUUUGAAAUCUUUUAGAAUUACCUUGAUUAAAAUCAUUACAUAAAAUAAUCUUCACCGUAUUUAUUACAUAUGGCACAGAAUAAUUUAACACUUUAUGAACAUGUUUCAUAGAUGCGCAAAUGGGAAAAGCACCCUUUGCCAAAAGCAGUACAGUAACUUAGUUCAAUUUGGCUACGGUAGCACUUUAAAAAAUGACCAUGAGGUGGCGCUGUGGCCAAGUAGAUUAAGUAUGUCUAAACUGAGUGUUUCCCCUAAUUAGGUAUGGCAUUUAAUUCCUUCCUUUAAAUAUAGAAGAAUCUACCAUUCAACUUAAAGUAGAGUAAGGUUGGUCACUGUAUUUUAAUAGUAUUGACUAGGAGUGAGUCCUUUAAUCACAGAUCCAUAAAUCAUUCAAGCACCGUGUUUCACUGGGACUGGGGGUGUAUUUUUGAAAUCCUUAGUAGUCAGAAAGUCCCUAGACUAAACAAAGGGCCCAAAGGUACCAUUUUAUUCAAGAUCACUCAACUGUAUAUAAGGACUAUUGUGUU